AUGGCUGUAGCUCAAUGGUAGAGCAAUUGAUUUAUAAUCAAUAGGUUAAAGGUUCAACUCCUUUCAGCGCAG
rnacentral:tRNA from 1 species